rnacentral:rRNA from 1 species
GAUGAACGCUGGCGGCGUGCCUAAUACAUGCAAGUCGAGCGAACAGACGAGGAGCUUGCUCCUCUGACGUUAGCGGCGGACGGGUGAGUAACACGUGGAUAACCUACCUAUAAGACUGGGAUAACUUCGGGAAACCGGAGCUAAUACCGGAUAAUAUAUUGAACCGCAUGGUUCAAUAGUGAAAGACGGUUUUGCUGUCACUUAUAGAUGGAUCCGCGCCGCAUUAGCUAGUUGGUAAGGCAACGGCUUACCGAGGCAACGAUGCGUAGCCGACCUGAGAGGGUGAUCGGCCACACUGGACCUGAGACACGGUCCAGACUCCUACGGGAGGCAGCAGUAGGGAAUCUUCCGAAAUGGGCGAAAGCCUGACGGAGCAACGCCGCGUGAGUGAUGAAGGUCUUCGGAUCGUAAAACUCUGUUAUUAGGGAAGAACAAAUGUGUAAGUAACUAUGCACGUCUUGACGGUACCUAAUCAGAAAGCCACGGCUAACUACGU